rnacentral:tRNA from 1 species
GGCCUUGUCAUCUAGUGGAUUAGGAUACAUGAUUCUCAUUCAUGUCACACGGGUUCGAAUCCCGUCAAGGCCACCA